rnacentral:piRNA from 1 species
UUCUGGUGACAGAUUAUGCUUCUCAUUUGU